GAUGAACGCUGGCGGCGUGCCUAAUACAUGCAAGUCGAGCGAACAGACGAGGAGCUUGCUCCUCUGACGUUAGCGGCGGACGGGUGAGUAACACGUGGAUAACCUACCUAUAAGACUGGGAUAACUUCGGGAAACCGGAGCUAAUACCGGAUAAUAUAUUGAACCGCAUGGUUCAAUAGUGAAAGACGGUUUUGCUGUCACUUAUAGAUGGAUCCGCGCCGCAUUAGCUAGUUGGUAAGGUAACGGCUUACCAAGGCAACGAUGCGUAGCCGACCUGAGAGGGUGAUCGGCGACACUGGAGCUGAGACACGGUCCAGACUCCUACGGGAGGCAGCAGUAGGGAAUCUUCCGCAAUGGGCGAAAGCCUGACGGAGCAACGCCGCGUGAGUGAUGAAGGUCUUCGGAUCGUAAAACUCUGUUAUUAGGGAAGAACAAAUGUGUAAGUAACUAUGCACGUCUUGACGGUACCUAAUCAGAAAGCCACGGCUAACUACGUG
rnacentral:rRNA from 1 species